UACGUAGGGUGCAAGCGUUGUCCGGAAUUAUUGGGCGUAAAGAGCUCGUAGGCGGUUUGUCGCGUCUGCUGUGAAAACGCGAGGCUCAACCUCGCGCCUGCAGUGGGUACGGGCAGACUAGAGUGCGGUAGGGGAGAUUGGAAUUCCUGGUGUAGCGGUGGAAUGCGCAGAUAUCAGGAGGAACACCGAUGGCGGAAGGCAGAUCUCUGGGCCGUAACUGACGCUGAGGAGCGAAAGCGUGGGGAGCGAACAGG
rnacentral:rRNA from 1 species